GACGAACGCUGGCGGCGUGCUUAACACAUGCAAGUCGAACGGAAAGGCCCUGCUUUUGUGGGGUGCUCGAGUGGCGAACGGGUGAGUAACACGUGAGUAACCUUCCCUUUACUUUUGGAUAACUUCAGGAAACUGGGGCUAAUACCGGAUAGGAGCUCCUUCUGCAUGGUGGGGGUUGGAAAGUUUCGGCGGGUGGGGAUGGACUCGCGGCUUAUCAGCUUGUUGGUGGGGUAGUGGCUUACUAAGGCUUUGACGGGUAGCCGGCCUGAGAGGGUGACCGGCCACAUUGGGACUGAGAUACGGCCCAGACUCCUACGGGAGGCAGCAGUGGGGAAUAUUGCACAAUGGGCGGAAGCCUGAUGCAGCAACGCCGCGUGCGGGAUGACGGCCUUCGGGUUGUAAACCGCUUUCGCCUGUGACGAAGCGUGAGUGACGGUAAUGGGUAAAGAAGCACCGGCUAACUACGUG
rnacentral:rRNA from 1 species